rnacentral:rRNA from 1 species
AGUGAACGCUGGCGGUAGGCCUAACACAUGCAAGUCGAACGGCAGCACAGUAAGAGCUUGCUCUGACGGGUGGCGAGUGGCGGACGGGUGAGGAAUACAUCGGAAUCUACUUUUUCGUGGGGGAUAACGUAGGGAAACUUACGCUAAUACCGCAUACGACCUACGGGUGAAAGCAGGGGAUCUUCGGACCUUGCGCGAUUGAAUGAGCCGAUGUCGGAUUAGCUAGUUGGCGGGGUAAAGGCCCACCAAGGCGGCGAUCCGUAGCUGGUCUGAGAGGAUGAUCAGCCACACUGGAACUGAGACACGGUCCAGACUCCUACGGGAGGCAGCAGUGGGGAAUAUUGGACAAUGGGCGCAAGCCUGAUCCAGCCAUACCGCGUGGGUGAAGAAGGCCUUCGGGUUGUAAAGCCCUUUUGUUGGGAAAGAAAAGCAGCAGGUUAAUACCCCGCUGUUCUGACGGUACCCAAAGAAUAAGCACCGGCUAACUUCGUG